GAUGAACGCUGGCGGCGUGCCUAACACAUGCAAGUCGAGCGGCAGCGAGGGGUGCUUGCACCCUGCCGGCGAGCGGCGGACGGCUGAGUAACGCGUGGGAACGUGCCCCAAAGUGAGGAAUAACUGCCCGAAAGGGUAGCUAAUACCGCAUAUUAUCUUCGGAUCAAAGGAUUUAUCCGCUUUGGGAGCGGCUCGCGUCGGAUUAGGUAGUUGGUGAGGUAAUGGCUCACCAAGCCGACGAUCCGUAGCUGGUCUGAGAGGAUGACCAGCCAGACUGGAACUGAGACACGGUCCAGACUCCUACGGGAGGCAGCAGUGAGGAAUCUUCCACAAUGGGCGAAAGCCUGAUGGAGCAACGCCGCGUGCAGGACGAAGGCCUUCGGGUUGUAAACUGCUUUUAUAAGUGAGGAAUAUGACGGUAACUUAUGAAUAAGGAGCGGCUAACUACGUG
rnacentral:rRNA from 1 species